rnacentral:rRNA from 1 species
GACGAACGCUGGCGGCGUGCUUAACACAUGCAAGUCGAACGGACAGGCCCUGCUUUUGUGGGGUGCUCGAGUGGCGAACGGGUGAGUAACACGUGAGUAACCUGCCCUUGACUUUGGGAUAACUUCAGGAAACUGGGGCUAAUACCGCAUAGGAGCUCCUGCUGCAUGGGGGGGGUGGGAAAGUUUCGGCGGUUGGGGAUGGUCUCGCGGCUUAUCAGCUUGUUGGUGGGGUAGUGGCUUACCAAGGCUUUGACGGGUAGCCGGCCUGAGGGGGUGACCGGCAACGUUGGGACUGAGAUACGGCCCAGACUCCUCCGGGAGGCGGCAGUGGGGAAUAUUGCACAAUGGGCUGAAGCCUGAUGCAGCAACGCCGCGUGCGGGAUGACGGCCUGCGGGUUGUAAACCGCUUUCGCCUGUGACGAAGCGUGAGUGACGGUAAUGGGUAAAGAAGCACCGGCUAACUACGUG